rnacentral:rRNA from 1 species
GUGGAUUAGUGGCGAACGGGUGAGUAACACGUGAGUAACCUGCCCUUAACUCUGGGAUAAGCCUGGGAAACUAGGUCUAAUACCGGAUAGGAGCGCCUACCGCAUGGUGGGUGUUGGAAAGAUUUAUCGGUUUUGGAUGGACUCGCGGCCUAUCAGCUUGUUGGUGAGGUAAUGGCUCACCAAGGCGACGACGGGUAGCCGGCCUGAGAGGGUGACCGGCCACACUGGGACUGAGACACGGCCCAGACUCCUACGGGAGGCAGCAGUGGGGAAUAUUGCACAAUGGGCGAAAGCCUGAUGCAGCGACGCCGCGUGAGGGAUGACGGCCUUCGGGUUGUAAACCUCUUUCAGUAGGGAAGAAGCGAAAGUGACGGUACCUGCAGAAGAAGCACCGGCUAACUACGUGCCAGCAGCCGCGGUAAUACGUAGGGUGCGAGCGUUAUCCGGAAUUAUUGGGCGUAAAGAGCUCGUAGGCGGUUUGUCGCGUCUGUCGUGAAAGUCCGGGGCUUAACCCCGGAUCUGCGGUGGGUACGGGCAGACUAGAGUGCAGUAGGGGAGACUGGAAUUCCUGGUGUAGCGGUGGAAUGCGCAGAUAUCAGGAGGAACACCGAUGGCGAAGGCAGGUCUCUGGGCUGUAACUGACGCUGAGGAGCGAAAGCAUGGGGAGCGAACAGGAUUAGAUACCCUGGUAGUCCAUGCCGUAAACGUUGGGCACUAGGUGUGGGGACCAUUCCACGGUUUCCGCGCCGCAGCUAACGCAUUAAGUGCCCCGCCUGGG